CCUACGGGUGGCAGCAGUGGGGAAUAUUGCGCAAUGGGCGAAAGCCUGACGCAGCGACGCCGCGUGUGGGAUGACGGCCUUCGGGUUGUAAACCACUGUCGGGAGGGACGAAGCUCUGACGGUACCUCCAAAGGAAGCACCGGCUAACUCUGUGCCAGCAGCCGCGGUAAUACAGAGGGUGCAAGCGUUGUCCGGAAUCACUGGGCGUAAAGGGCGCGUAGGCGGCCUGGUAAGCAGGGGGUGAAAUCCUGUGGCUCAACCACAGGGCUGCCUCCUGAACUGUCAGGCUGGAGCACGGUAGAGGCAGAUGGAAUUCCCGGUGUAGCGGUGGAAUGCGUAGAGAUCGGGAAGAACACCAGUGGCGAAGGCGGUCUGCUGGGCCGUUGCUGACGCUGAGGCGCGACAGCGUGGGGAGCAAACAGGAUUAGAUACCCUGGUAG
rnacentral:rRNA from 1 species